rnacentral:tRNA from 2 species
UAGAGUAUAGUGUAAUAUAGGUAGCACGAAGAUUUUUGAAUUCUUAGGAGCAGGUUCAAUUCCUGUAACUCUAG